rnacentral:rRNA from 1 species
GACGAACGCUGGCGGCGUGCUUAACAUAUGCAAGUCGAACGGAAAGGCCCUGCUUGCAGGGUGCUCGAGUGGCGAACGGGUGAGUAACACGUGGGUGAUCUGCCCCUUACUUUGGGAUAAGCCCGGGAAACUGGGUCUAAUACUGGAUAGGACCAUGCUGUAGGUGGUGUGGUGGAAAGAUUAGUUUCGGUAAGGGAUGAGCUCGCGGCCUAUCAGCUUGUUGGUGGGGUAAUGGCCUACCAAGGCGUCGACGGGUAGCCGGCCUGAGAGGGUGGACGGCCACAUUGGGACUGAGAUACGGCCCAGACUCCUACGGGAGGCAGCAGUGGGGAAUAUUGCACAAUGGGCGCAAGCCUGAUGCAGCGACGCCGCGUGGGGGAUGACGGCCUUCGGGUUGUAAACUCCUUUCAGCCAUGACGAAGCCCUUGUGGUGACGGUAGUGGUAGAAGAAGCACCGGCUAACUACGUG